CUGCAGAGGUGCCUUUUGUCUGGCAAGGGGAGCACAGGUGGGGGAUGGGGCUGGCCCCAGCCAGGACAUUGUCUGUGUCACUCAGCAGCAGACUGACUGGCGCCUGCUGCCUGGCCAGCAAUGCUGACCCCUCUGCCUGCCCUAGCCAAUAUUUGAGGUCAGGAGGCAAGUACAGCAUCUGUGGGCAGACGACAGGGCCAAUGGGGUUCUCCUCCAGGCCUUCUGCUGCCACUCUGCUUCCUGAAGCCAGGAGGCCCAGUUCAGGUGCUCCGCCAGGGCUCCCGUGGUCCUGCCUGCAGGGGCGAGGUAGCAGGACCCCCUUGUUUAGCCUCUGCUGCAUCCUUAGCUGCAGCAGGGAGCCUGCCAGGCAGGUGUGCGGUCCCUACACGGGUCAAGAUGGGAGCCGCCUUAGAGAUCUCUAUUCUGCAGAGGAGGAAACUGAGGCACAGACAUGGAUGGAGGGAAUUUGGCCAAGGCCCUUUGGCCUUCUGGGCCAGGACUCCAGCCCCAGCCCAGUGGCAGGAAGAGGGUCUCAUGCCACCCCUCAACCCUGAUAAUCCUGCAUGCACGGCACAGGCCUCGAACCUCCUCUCCCCUGGCCUGGUCCCACCCUAGUGGGCCCGGCAGUGGGGCCUUCCAUCCUGCCUCUGUCACUGCCACAAAAGAACAUCAUGAUGCAUCCCAGGCCUCUGUCCUUCAGGCCAUGGGGGGCUUCCCUGAGCACAGCCACUCACCACAUGCCUGAGUCUGGAUCUCAUGCGAGAACUGGCCUGGACCCCUGGACCAGGAUACAAACUCAUCUGGAAGCAUUAAAACAAUGGAAGCAGGUGAGAGCAGAGAGAUCCCGAGCGCAGGUGAGGUGGGGUCCCUGAGGCGGGCUCAAAAGCUGCUUCCCAAGGCAGGGGGGCCCCUAUGUGCCCUCUGAGAGCACAGCCUGCAGACAGAGUCCAGACGUCUCAGGCAGGCCUUUGAGGCCUUCGUGUCAAAGCCCAGUUCUACCACAUCCUAGGGUUAUACUUUCGGCCUGGUGGGAGUCGCUGGUCCCCAGUUGACAGUGUCAUUGGGAAAGUCCAGUGGUAGACCCCGGCACAGCAGGCGCUCAGCAGUGCAGCAGUAUCAUUGCUUAGCCCCACCUCCCUUUCCAGACUCUGCACCCCUCCUCAGGCUCAGAGCAAGGGCCUGCCCCUGCCCCUCCACCGCCCCCUCCUCACUUACCCCUGCGACUCUGCCCAAGCAAGACCUCCCCCUGGAAUUCAUUCAUUUAUCAACUCAUUAUGCAGCCAGCCAGCCAUCGUUUCUUUUUUAUCCACUUUUUCUGAGGGCCUGCUGUGCGCCAGCUGCUGGAGACAUGAAGACAUCGAAGACCCCAGGCCUUGACCUCCAAGAGCCCCCAGUUUGGUGGAAGAAACAAACAAGGAGACUGCAAAACACACCCUGUGAUGGGGAGGGUUGAGGUGGCCAGUGGGAGAGGCGAGCUGGCAGGGCUCAGUGGUGAGGUGAAGGUGUGGGAGCAGGGACACAGCAUGAAGGAGUAGAUGGCCAGGUUGAGCUUUGCAGGCUCCAGGGGGAGGAUAAAGAGCUGACACCUGGAACGUGCUUGGAACAGCAGGUGCUCGGUCAGUGCAGCCACGACCAUCCCGUCCUGCAUCCCCACCAUGAACUUGGACCUUCUGGAAGGACCUUGCUUAUCCCAGCAUCCACACAUCCUUGACCAGACCUGGUCAACAUUUGCUUACCUCUGCCAGCCUCCUCUCACCCAUUCCUGCAUGUGCCGCACCAAUCUGUGUGGAGCGCCCACUCCAGCCAGGCCCUGCUCUAUCAGCAAACUCAGCAGGCAGAACCCCUGCCCCAUGGCGCUGCUUCAGCGUGGUGAGACAGGAACCGCCUGGCUGCUGGGAUGAGAAGAGACUGGAGAGAGACCACGAUGGAAGCCAGGAGGCCAACGAGGAGUUGGGGUAGUCCUCCAGGGAGACAUGAUGUGGCUUCAGCCCCAGUGGUGAUGGCGGGGUAGAGCCAGCAGGGUUCUGAACUGAGUGGAUGUGAAAUGAGGGAAAGAGGGAUGCUGCGGUCGGCAGAAUCGUGCCUCCCGCAAAGAUGCCCCAUCCUAACCCGUCACCCUUGACAGUGAGACCUCCACCACAAAGGGGACUUUGCAGGCAUGAAGGUUAAGGACCCUGAGAGGAGGAGAUGGCCCUGGACUGUCUGGCGGGCCCAGCAUCAUCACAAGGGUGCUUAUAAGUGGAGGAGGAGGCAGGGGGAGCCGAGCAGAUGUGAGGAUAGAAGCAGAGGUCGGAGGGACGUGCUGUUGGCUUGAGAUGGAGGAGGACCUAUGAGCCAAGGAGCAUGGGCGGCCUCUGGAAGCCAGAAAGGGCAAGGCCUCUUCCCGGAGCCUCCAGCAGAACCCAGCCCCGCUGCCACCUCGACUGCAGAACGGUGACACCGUGUCCGAUUCCCGACCUCCAGAACCGUGAGAUAACACGUGUGCUGUUUUAAGCCACUGCAAUUGUGGUAUUUGUCACAGCAGCCAUAGGAAACUGUACGGGGGUUAAAGAGGACCUGCUGACCUCUGAGCUCACACUGAAGCCUCCUGGAAUGCUGUGGGUUGUGAGCUGGGAUGAGAACGCAGCAUGGAGAUGAAAGACGCAUCCACCCAGGAAGGCCCACUGGCAUCGCAAUCUCAGGGAAGAUUCCCAGGCUGAAAAAAGAGAAAGUGGCUGGGGUGGCACUGAAUGCCCCACGUCAAAGAAAUGGCACCCAAGCCGUCCGUCAGUCCCUCACCUGCCACACAGACAGCACCUUGGACCCAGCAAGAUGUCACUCACCACAUUGAUGCUGUCCACAGGCAUCGCCUUGCUUUUGCAGCUCUGUGUGAGAUUUGUCAGCUUGGUUUGGGUCUGGGGCUGUAUUAGAGCUGUCAGCCUAGGAGCCUACCCUAGUUUUGUGUCUGCACUAUUUCCAAAGCACUGGAAUAAAAGGCAUUUUAACCAA
rnacentral:lncRNA from 1 species